GUAAAUAUAGUUUAUCAAAACAUCAGACUGUGAACCUGAAGACAAGGCAUAAAACCCUUUGUUUACC
rnacentral:tRNA from 1 species